AUACAGAGGGUGCAAGCGUUAAUCGGAAUUACUGGGCGUAAAGCGCACGUAGGUGGGCUAGUAAGUUGUUGGUGAAAAGCUCGGGCUUAACCUGAGUCUGUCCAGCAAAACUGUUAGUCUAGAGUGUAUUAGAGGGAAGUGGAAUUUCCGGUGUAGCAGUGAAAUGCGUAGAUAUCGGAAGGAACACCAGUGGCGAAGGCGACUUCCUGGAAUACUACUGACACUGAGGUGCGAAAGCGUGGGGAGCAAACAGGAUUAGAAACCCUAGUAGUCC
rnacentral:rRNA from 1 species